GGACUCAGUGUGAUCAUGUGACGGGAGAGCGCAAGAGGAGCUGGUCGGUAACGGAGGACCGAAUGCCAAUCUCAUUGAGAAAGCGCCUUUAUUGCGCGUGAGAGACGGGAGGGACAGACGUUUCUAGUGCUGCACGCAUACACAGACGGACAAGACACAGGAAGCUCUGGGGAACUCGGGGAAAGGGUGCAUUUUCUUCGCCACAAGAGGAAGUUAAGGACACAUCUCUCGCUAAAAUAAAUCUUAAAAGGGGCAGUGGGCACGCGGGAGUCGCCUUUGCGAGAAACUUGUGGGAUUUAUCGGGAAUUGUUUCUGAAAGGAGACCUGGCUUCCCUCUCCACACGUUUAUAUUUCAUUUGGUUCAUUUAAUUUCAUUUCAUCAGCUGCCCUGAACAACUGUCAUCUCCCGAAUUGCCGUAGCAGCCUAUUGCAGCAGCGGAUUGUGCGUAAAGACAGAGACAGCAGCCCUUUCCGCGGACGAGUCAGGCACUUGCCUUCUUCACUUGCUUUAUUUAUUAUUUAUAUCCAAGACUUUAUUUAUUUUGGGACUCUUUCCGUCUAUUUUGGGGCGUCGGUGGUGAUUUCUGUGGAAUAUGGUGGGGGAAAUGGAAACGAAAGAGAAGCCGAAGCCGACCCCAGAUUAUCUGAUGCAGCUCAUGAACGAUAAGAAACUGAUGAGCAGUCUGCCCAACUUCUGCGGGAUCUUCAACCACCUCGAACGGCUUCUCGACGAAGAGAUCAGCAGGGUACGAAAGGACAUGUACAACGACACGUUAAACGGCAGCACGGAGAAGAGAAGCUCCGAGCUCCCGGACGCCGUUGGCCCCAUCGUUCAGCUCCAAGAGAAACUCUAUGUGCCUGUUAAAGAAUAUCCUGACUUUAAUUUUGUGGGCCGGAUCUUGGGUCCGCGGGGGCUCACAGCCAAACAGCUGGAGGCAGAGACAGGAUGUAAGAUCAUGGUGAGAGGGAAAGGCUCCAUGAGGGACAAAAAGAAGGAGGAACAAAACCGAGGCAAACCCAACUGGGAGCAUCUGAAUGAGGACCUCCAUGUGCUCAUCACGGUGGAGGAUGCCCAGAACCGGGCUGAGAUCAAGCUUAAGCGUGCAGUGGAGGAGGUUAACAAGCUACUCGUGCCUGCGGCUGAAGGCGAGGACAGUCUGAAGAAGAUGCAACUGAUGGAGCUGGCCAUUCUUAACGGCACCUACAGAGACGCCAACAUCAAAUCACCUGCCCUUGCAUUCUCUCUUGCAGCGAGCGCCCAGGCGCCACGGAUCAUCACCGGCCCAGCACCUGUCCUGCCGCCCACAGCCUUGCGCACGCCUACGCCCGCCGGGCCCACCAUCAUGCCCCUCAUCCGCCAGAUCCAGACCGUCAUGCCCAACGGCUCGGCCCACCCAGCAACCGCCACCCUAGUGCAGCCCGGUCCAGAGUCAGGCCUGAUUUACGCAACGCCCUAUGAUUACCCCUACACACUGGCCCCCGCCACCUCCAUUCUGGAGUAUCCCAUCGACUCCAGUGGGGUUUUAGCAUCCUCAAAGGCCGAAGAGCUGCCCCUCUACCUGGGCUUUCAGACCUGUCACAUUCCCAUCACAGUCCAGCGUGGAGAGCCAACCGGCCGGCCUCCCUUUUAAAGUGUCCCCUCUCUCCCCCGCCCCCUCCGGCAAGCCCCUCCCUCACACCGCAGACACGCCCCCUGCCCCGCCUCCCUCUUAUCGGACUGGCUGGACUUCCCGGCCUCAUUCAUUCUGUCAGUUUCUUUGAAUCAUGGUUUUUGUUUUUCAGUUUUUUGGGUUUUGUACUUUUGUUUUUAUCUGUAAUGUGAUGUUUAAGUUUUUUUUUAUGUGUUCAAUGAUAAGGGAGACCAAGCACUGAGCCCCAAACUGCUGCACAAGCCUUUCUGGACUACCCCUAUCCCUCAGUCUGAGCGGGCCGCAUCAGGAGGGGAAACAUGAGGAUGGUGAGGGGACAGUGGGGCUCAAAUUGGGAGGGAAACUAUUUGAGAUGGGGCAUCUGUUGAAAGCCAGGCUGUUCAUCGAGCAGUUUUAGGACAGUUUAAUGCACUAUGGUGGGGCAUUUUGACUUAAAAUGGCAUAGUCACAAUAUAUAAUCACACAGUGAGGAUAUUGGCUUAUAAUAUUUUAUCAAAGUCUUCUAACAACUGCAGUAUUACAGCUCUAGUAAAAGUAUUUAGAAUUCAAAUAAGAAUGAUUCAAAAAGUAAAAAGCUUAAUCAAAACAACCAUAGUUAAUGACAAAAUGGGAAAUUAUGCUCAAUUGUCUUAAUAUAAAAUAUCUUAAUAUAAAGAAAAGCUUUAUUUUAUUGUAUACUGUCAUAUUUGUCUUUAGAUUUUUAGUUGAAAUAUGAUCCAGACAUACACUAACAUUCAAAAGUUGGGGGUCAGUAAGAUAUUUUACGAAAUUAAUAUUUUUUUCAUGAACGAUGCAUUAAACUGCAGCAAAAGAUUUCUGUUUCAAAUAAAUUCUGUUCUCUAAUCUUUGGGGAAAAGAGGAAAAAUUUAUUGUAAUUAGAACAAUUUCUGAAGGAUCAUGUGACACUGAAGACUGGAUUAAUGAUUCUGAAUAUUCAGUAUAUCAUCACAGGAAUAAAUGACAAUGCUACUGUUUUUAUCAUAUUUGUGAUCAAAUAAAUGUAGGAGGCAUAUGCUACUUUUUUCAAAAACAUUAAAAACUCAUUUUUUUUAAAAAGGUAGUUUAUGAUUUUGAUUCCUUGAGAUUCUCCCUAUGCCCUCGCCUCACGAACUGUCCUAAAACGUGCUCCGUCUGACUGUGGUGUGUUGUUUCCCCGAGGACCGUCAGUCCUGCCACUAAUGUCCCCUUCCCCUCCUUUAUUCUGUAGGUGUGGCUUUCCCCACAAAGGCUAAAUGGGUUUCCCAGGAUCCUCACUGAGCCCCUCAUCCUCACUGAGUGUUAACAUUCACAUGCUUUGGUUUCACAGCUGCCUUGUUGGUUUUGAGUGAUGUUUGUUCAGAGCAUGAAUCUGGCCUAGCAGUCAGCCGGACGCGCUCCUGUUCAUUUACACGGGCUAUUCCCAGAGCCCACAGCGGCUGUACUUGUAAUGCCAUACAUAUGCCUCCAUACUCCCACACAUUUCCCCUUCACUGUGCGGCUGACUGCUACGCCUUGAAAAUCGAUUGUUCUGCUUUACUAAUCACUUAAUUCAUUGCCGUGCAUUUCUAUUCUCUUUUUUUUUGUACUCCAGCAGAUGUGCCUAAAUGUUGUUCUCUCUCAGAGAGUGACUUUAUCAGUAUUAUAUUUAAAGACACUGUCAUCCAGCGCGAGAUUUCGUGACUGGAAAAAGCUUCCCGUUGAGAGCGUGCGCUCCUGUCUGUCAUACUGUAUCCAAGCUACGCAAAAACCCACGGAUCCACCGAGGAGAAAUGAAACCAUGUGUGAAUUUUGUACAAACACGUGUUGAGAUAUUUACAUAUGGGGGAAAAUAAGUAUUAUUUGUGCCUUAACUUGUAUAAUUUAAAUGCUUUGCGUUUGUCAGACACAUUGGGAAUGAUUUGUGAGGUUUGACUGAUCUGUUUUCUGGUGAUGUUAUUGCAAUCCAAGCAGGUGCAGUGACAUCUAAAGUUCGAAGGCACGAAAUGCGCGUCCAUCCUUACCAAAGGGUAGUGACCGCAGACAGAGCCACCACUGGCAACUAACCCCUGACCUUCUGACCUCUCCAUCCAAUGACGACCUGCCCAUUACCUGCCUGCAGAUCACACCUCUGCCCUAAAAUGAAUGAAUGAAUGACAAAAAGAGUAUCUAAGAGCUCACAGGCAAUGGAUAAACAGCUUCCCUAAGCCUCACUCGUUGGACGCGGGCGGCAGAUGCCCAGACAUUCCUGCCGCUGUAGAUCUGCACUCUUUGUAAGCAAUAAGCAAUAAAGAUUUGCCCUGCACCCUCUAAAUCAAAGCCAGACCUCCCAAGUUGCUGUGCGAAGGCCUCCAGCUCAACGGCGACACUGUUGAGGAAACCGACUGCCCUUCAUCGCACCCCAUCCUGUCACUAGAGGAAACCUGAUGUUACGGUAAUGAGUCUGAAUGUAAUGCAUGACGGUGUGGAUGAUGCACCUCUACCAGGUGAACUACGACCGCGGCUCGUCACGUGUCACGACGGGCCAUUGGAGAAGCAUUUCAGCUGAAAACACAUUAAAAAGAAGAGUAUUUCCCUUCCGGAACAAUCCGACACUUUUCGGUGAACAAGCCUCUCUGGGGAUGUAUAAGCCAUGCUUGCCUAUCUGCUGUACAAAUGUAUGAAAUUUGUAGAUAAAUGUCAAAAGAGUGAUGAAAGAAAACAUGUACAGGAGCAACAUUUUUAUUAUCCUCCAGAGAACGUAUAUUUUUACAACUCGCUAUUUUAUGUUGAAUAUUGUGAAGAAAACUGAAAGAACAAAAAAAACAAACACAAUACCGAACCCUUUAUGAAGUAAAAACAAUCCAGUUUUCUGUAAUUGGAUGUAGACGUGGAUGACCAAAACAAACCCUUUCGUUGAACCGAUGGGGUUGAGAGGGAAAUAUCGUUCAAGUGCCUUUGCCUUUUCAUAGUUCUCACGUUCAAUAUGAAUGUCAUCAUGAGUGGCGAAUGAGCAGACCAGGACUACAUUUCCCAAAAGCAUCAUAAGUCUGCGUAGAUCUGCACAGGCUUUCAGUGGAUUUGGGAAAUGUAGUCCAGGUCAGUACACACAGCUUCCCCUUUCAGGAACCACAUAAGUGACGUAUCACCAGCCUAAAUCUGCCUUCCAACGCUCCAUCCCAGUAUUACACAGCGAUCAAAUCAAGGCUUUUCACACCACAUGAUCACUGUCAAACCGACACAGAGAGUCAAGGUCUAUUUUUUGCCUUCAGUCUUGAGUCAUCCUUCAGAAUUGUGGGUAUUUUGCUCAUAGUACUUCAAUUAAUUUGCACUUUAUGUUUAUGUUGAUGUUUAGCACAUUGUAAAAUCAGAAUGGUGUUCCUGAUGGUAUAUAGGAUAUGCAGUAUUCAAUGCCAAAAAAAUCUGUAUGUUUGUCUUGUUUUGCAGUGAAAAAUAUAUAAAUAUCUUAUAUAAUGUAUGUACACACGCGCACACAAAUAAGAAGUUUGUGUAUGAUAAGGAGUUUUCGGAGAAUAUACACUUCAACUCAAACACCAGUUGGUCAAAAGUUUAAGAUUGUCUUAAUGUCUUUGAAAGAAAUCUCUUCUGCUCACCAAGAAAAAAAAAUACAAUUAAAUAGUAAUUUUACGAAUUGGCCUGUCCAUUCGGUUCUAAUAGUUAAUGAUGAACAAUCUGGGCUUGUUGUCCUCAACGGAGUUUGUCUGUUUUAAUAUAUUUUAAAAUGCAAUAUAUGUCAAUGUUGAAAACGUUGCGCUGCUUAAUAUUGUAAACGCUACCAAUUCAAAUGUUUUGGGCAAGAUUUCUAUUUCAAAUAAAUGCUGUUCUUUUUAAAUUUCUAUUCAUCGCAGAAUCUUAAAAAAUAUUUCCACAUGAGUAUGAAGCAGGACAGCUGUUUUCAACACUUGAUAACAAUGAUAAAUGUUUUCUUGAGCAGCAAAUCAGCAUAUAAGAAUGAUUUCUGAAGAAUCACGUGACCCUGGAAAUUCAGCUUUGCAUCACAGAAAUAAGUUACAUUUUAAAAUAUAUUUAAAUUAAAUUAACAGAUAUUUAAAAAUGCUCAUUUUUAAAUCCUAUUUAUUAUAUAAUGAUAUAAUUAUCUGGUUUUGAGAAAAACAUAUAUAUAUCUUGAAUUACGUUUAUGUUUCUUGUUUUAAGCAUGAAACACAUAAUAAAAUAUAAUAUAAUUAUAUAAAUAAAAAAAUGCCAGUGGGAUGAAAUCAACACACUUUUAAUCGAGAUAUUAUCUGGCAAGACAUUUGUAACACAUGAUUUUACUUCUCAAUUGAAAUGUUUUUCAAUUCCUGAUUAAAAGUGGUGUUUUGUGGAUAUGAAUCAGAAUGUAGGCGCUGAUGGUGAAUAAGCUGUGUGUACUGCCUGCGCUGGCCUGCACCGUAUCAUUGUAAUAUGCGUCCCCCUCCAAACUCUUUCUUUACUAUGCAACAGAAUGGCCUCUGACGUCUUGAGGGGAGUCUCUGUGACAUCAAACAUGUCUUCCUGUUGUGUCUGCGUUUGCUCUCGUUUCUACUUAUGAUUCUACAGUGCCAUCAAAGUAUAAUAUCAAAGAAGGUAUAUCAAGGCGUGAUGUGUUUGAAAACGCUUUGGAAUACGAAAUGUGAAUCAUCUUAAUAUUAAAAGCAGAUUAUGAUUAGUAAGAAUACAGACAUUUAAAUAAUAAAUAAAAAAAACUUAAAUAUGAGAGGUGAGUACAGUAACUGAUAAAGCAUGAUGUCUCACACUCAAUAGAAAUUAAAAAUAUAUUAGUCGGAUUUGUCCUGGUUUUGCGAUUGAGUUUUUAAGUUUAAAGGUGAAGUGUGUAAUAUCUGACACCAAAAAAGAUCAGCGAAAGAGCAUGUCUUCUAGACGAUUUCCCCACCUGCCAUUGGUCAGUCCAACAAGUCCCGCCUCCUGAUUCGCACCAUUGGUUAAAACAAAUGACAACAUAUCCACCCGUGUUUUGAGAGAAGUCAGUAGUCAUCUCUGUACAUUAAACUGGGAUUAAAAAGAUUUGAACAAAAAAAAUGAAUUACACACUUCAGCUUUAAGAAUCAAGUUUGAUCGUGUGAAUGUCCUUUAUCAUGUGGAUAUGUGUGUGUAUGACAUGCCGUCUUUCACCCCCAAAUGUGUGUGUUCCCUGCCCAAGUAUUGCCUAUGAAAAGACAUGUCUGUUUUAACAGCCAUUGUUACAAGUUUAUAAUGUAUUUUUCUAUCUUAUUUUAUAUGUAUGUAAUAAACAAUAUUAAAAGCCUUGUCUUUGUAUUCUGAA